rnacentral:rRNA from 1 species
GAUGAACGCUGGCGGCGUGCUUAACACAUGCAAGUCGAACGGAAAGGCCCAAGCUUGCUUGGGUACUCGAGUGGCGAACGGGUGAGUAACACGUGGGUGAUCUGCCCUGCACUUCGGGAUAAGCCGGGGAAACUGGGUCUAAUACCGGAUAGGACCACAUUUUGGAUGGUGUGGUGGAAAGUUUUUCGGUGUGGGAUGAGCUCGCGGCCUAUCAGCUUGUUGGUGGGGUAAUGGCCUACCAAGGCGUCGACGGGUAGCCGGCCUGAGAGGGUGUACGGCCACAAUGGGACUGAGAUACGGACCAGACUCCUACGGGAGGCAGCAGUGGGGAAUAUUGCACAAUGGGCGCAAGCCUGAUGCAGCGACGCCGCGUGGGGGAUGACGGCCUUCGGGUUGUAAACUCCUUUCGCUAGGGACGAAGCGCAAGUGACGGUACCUGGAGAAGAAGCACCGGCUAACUACGUG